rnacentral:lncRNA from 1 species
AAAGACACGGGAGGAAAUACAGGCCAAAAGCAUUUGUGAGCACUGUGGGGAAAACAAGCGUAGGAUGGAAGAUCAGAGCUGAAAGGUGCACACAGGGAGAAGGGAGCUCCACGAAGUACAGAGUCAUGGGCAGAGUUUGAGUGGAGGUAGUCAGUAAUCUGGCCUAGAAAUCGGGUAAUUAGCCAACUUAGGGGGGAAAAUCGAGAUAAAUAUAAAGUACUCCUUUAGAGAUUUUGGCAAUUGAAGUAGAAAAAUAACAUAAUUGAAAAAAGUUAGGGUUUAAACAAUUCUGCAUAUAUUUGUAUAUAUGUAAGAACAGAUAGUAUGGGAAAAGAGGGAGCAGAAUGAUGUGAAUAAAGAUUUUGUUCUGCGGGGUAUUAUUCAAAUUCUUUUAAAAGUAUUCUUAGUUUUUGAGGUAGGGUCGCUGUCACCGAGGCUGGAGUGCAGUGGCGUGAUCACAGCUUACUGCAGCCUGAAACUCCUGGGCCCAAACGAUCCUUCUAUUUCAGCCUCCUGAGCACCUGAGAUCAAAUGCUUUUUCUAACUUAUUUUUAAGUUGUUAACAUCAAUAGAUGCUUCCUACAUAAAACCAUAAACCUGGAAAUUAGGGGAAGCACCAAAUCUCUCCAGAGAUAAUAACUAAAAUUAAUUGAAAUUAACAUUUCAAUAUGAGUUCUUCUGGUCUAUUUCAUACUAGUUGUGACUUUGUAAAGCUUUUAAAAGAAUCUAACUUUUAAAGAAAAUACAGGAUAUAAAAGGUGGGAAACCUUGAAUGGAAUGUGGGGCUUUUUCUCUCUUCCCAUAGGAUAGAUAUAUUCUGUUUCUUGUUCCCCAUUGAGUCAAGAAUAAUUGAACUUUUGGCAUAAGAAACUGCUGAAGAACUAUCGGUUGAAUAACCUAACAUUUCUCUUCUUUUUGCAAGCUGUAGAAGACUUAGAUCAUUAUAAGAUGAAAGAAGAGCCUAUGAGUGGGAAACAGGUGGAGGAUGAAGGAACUGAAAAAGAAAAUUGGGCAAUAUUAAAGAAAAUUAGGAAGACUGAAAGUGCUCCUGACAGCAUCUCAGAGGACGGUGUCCUCUGGCUUACUCUCUGGGAAAUGCUGCUCUGUUGGAAAUCCGGAGUUCUGAGUGAUUCCCAUGUGUCUUCUGCUGCACAGCAGGACAUACUGAAGUGAUUCCUUCAUGAGCAGAUGUUAGCGGUCUCCUUUUGACAGCUCAUUACCAAGUUGAUCACAAGUAUACUAUUACAGUGAGUGGAAGUCCCAGGUUGGGUGUGAAGCAGAAUUGUUUAGAAUUGUGUACCGUUUUAUUUUGUUAC